GCGUCGCACAGCAUCCCACGGCUCGCGUGAGCGGUCUGUGGUCUUGCAUUCAAGAGCUGCCUACGAGGCCGCCUGCUCCUGAGGUCCUGGCUCCGUGUGCGGGCGCUUCCCGUGGCAGCGCAGCCCUGGGGAGAAAUCUGGGCAGCCCCGUGGAGCCUGCCUUGUGGCCCCUGGGACCGGACCCUCCUCAACUACCCUCCCUGCCACGGCCACGUGCCACCGAGUCUCAUCCACGGGUGGAAUUUGUCUCAGAGAAGAUAAAAAUUGUGUUUGAAGAUGACUUGUGAUGCACGAAGUGGUUUUGUCUCACACGUAAAUACAGAUUUAAGGUGAUAUUAACUGAAGACUCUGAGUGGAGAAGAUUGGGUCUGCAGGCUGAGAUGGAGAUCUCCUGGGCAGGAGUGGGAGACCUGAGUUCUUGUCCUGAUCCUGGCGGGAACCAGUCCCCUCUGUUCCACCAAGCGAGAGCCUCAAGUCCUGCUCUGCCCACGCGGGAGGAUGUUCUGUCAGAGGAGCGCAAGUUUGCACAAGAGUUUUGAAAACCCCAAAGCACUAGACAGAUAUAAGAGAUUUCCCCUUUGGUUUUCUUUUCUUUUGUCUCUGACGAAAAUUCAGCAUCAUCACUUGUUAAUUGGCCAGUAAGAUCACAAUCAGUAAGAUGCACAAUCCUACUUUUCUUUCCCAGAAGAUUAAUACGCAGCUGUAGAUUUCAGGAUCAUUUAAAGCGUUCUUUGAAAAUCUGACCCUUCAUAACAGACAGACGCUCCCAGAAAACAAUAACAAUGAAAUAAUAACAAUAAUGACAACAAUAAAUGCUAAAAAUGGAAACGGGCACCUUACAAUGACAGCUUAACUGUUGGUGAAGAAAGGAAGACUUUCUUAGAAAGACAUUUCUUCCCGUUCAAAAUGUAGACCUGAGCGUUUAACUAGGAAGGAAAGAAGGGAAAACAACUGAAAAUGAAAUAAAUGGCUUCAGUUUACCCAGGUUAUUUCUAAACAGUAAUACAGAAAUGUAAUAGAAAUAAUUUAGACAUAUGGAUAAGAACCUUCAAAAUCGAUAGUGCUGGAAGAAAUGAAGCAUAUGCUGAUGCAAUCAAACAGAAUUGAAUUUCAUACAAUGUUAGCAAAUCUAUAUCAGAUUAUCACAGCAAAAACUUCAUUUUCAUUGAUUUAUAAUGUAUUAUUAUUGUUUCCACCAAACUGCCAUAGACAGCCAUUUAGCAGCUGCCAAGUGCCUUACGGGUAAAUAAGGGAUAUCACGGAUUGGGGGGAGAGCCGUUUAGGAGCCAAUAACUCAGGAGGGCGGCAGGUGCGCGUCCUCACGAUUCCUUGCUGGUUCCUUUUAAUCGCGUUAGAUCAUUCUUGAGACUUUUGGCUGUUAGUUUGGUAUUCACACAUGAGUGAGGAAAAAGGAAGGAAAUGUUUGUAACACAGAAACAUUUAGCAAAAAUGAGGCUAAAUGGGACCAUCAAACGCUUGCACAUGUCCACAUCCUUAUCUGUGUCUCUAUGUAAUUAUUCAAACCAAUAUUGUUUCUAGGAGCUGUGGCUCCCUCGUGGCCUGCUCUCUGCUAAGCCCCAUGGCCCAUAUAUCAUACACCUCUCUUUCAAGGUGUCAGUUCACGGGCAGGUUUUAUGGGGGCGAAAGGGCUUUUCUCUUUCCAGUUGCUGAUUUCUCUCAGGUCUGUAAUCACAGGGACCAUUUUCCAGCAGUCUGAGCAGUAAGAUUCUGCUUUUUUGAGAAAGGAUUAUGUGAACAGUUACUUGAGCAAAAUCCAUGAGCUUUUUUAAAAAACAGAAAUGGAAUUAAUAACAACGAGUGAGGUUAUGUUAAGGUUUUAUCUUAUGGCUGUAAGAAAUAAGCUAGAAAUUUAGAUAUUAGUUGUAUUCCUUCAUUGAAAGUAAGUUUUUUAGUGAAAAGUGAAAUACGGUUAUUGUGCCUGUGUCCUAAAAUUAUUUCACGAUCUUUUAGAUUAUCUGUCUCAAGUUCCAUAAUUAUUACCUAAAACAAAACUCCAAGUCAUUUCAUUCCUUUUCUCCAAUGACUGAAUGGGUAAUAGGUUUGUUUUGCUAAAAUGCUAUUAGUUAAGUAUUCAUAGAAAUCUGCUUAUUUUCCAUUCACUCUGUCGUAAGGUAGUAAAGACAAAUUGGGAUAACAGGGAAGUUCUAGCAUUCAGCAGGCCCUCAGUGACAGUCCUGCACCUUUCCUACCUCCAAGACAUUGCAGAAGGAGGUGGUGCCUACCGGCUGGCCAGCGUGCCUCCUGCCGCUGGGAUUGGAAUUGCCCUGAGACAGUAGAGUGCUCCUCGGGCACCACCGUCAUCUUCAGUCGGUAUCAGAAUUAUAGUUCAGUGGGUUGCUCUCAACGUUGGUUCUAAGUGGUUCCCCCAGAACCCAGUCCAGGCUCAUUGAGUAAACAUCCACUAGCUGGACAUGAGGAUUAAGCAAGAGAAGGUGGUGGGUUCAGUGUAAACUAUUUGCUGGAAGUAUCCUGGAGCAAAUGCUCUAGCUGACUAGCUGGGCUGUCUUCACAACGGAGGAAACUCGAGUCCAUUGGGAUGAGGCUUACGACUUGCUAUUCCUCCUGGUUUCCCACUUCUCUUGCACGAGUGUGAUGAAGGACUGAGGGUGAAAUGGGAAGGCCUGAGGCCAAGGAGAGUCAUAGGAGCCUGGCCUCGACUGAAUGCCUGCUCCAUGGGUUUCUUCUCAUGUCCCUCAGCCAUGUCCUCAUUGCCCACCCCAGAGAGGGCGCUGCAGGACAAAUGCUGUUCCCACUCCUUCUCAGCCUGUUGCUCAUUGCAAAUCAGCGAUUAGAAGGAGAGAGUGAAGAACACAGAGAUCGUUACACCUGCCAUGCAUGUGCCAUCCAUCUCCUAAGCUGCCAAAUUGCUCACCGUUGGCACCACGGGCAGAGGGUUGAAUUUCCAAUCCGUGAAACUCAGGUGCUGUGUAUGGCUCAAUUUACUCUUCCUACAUUUCAACAAAAUACCUAUUUUGGGCACUAAUUUUGCUCAGUUAAAAAAGUGUGGUCUCAGUCAGCUCCUGGAGGGUCAGUUCUUUUAGAUUCAGGCUCCGCCAACCCAGGAUUUUCUCCACCUCCUCCUUCCUCGUGAGUCUGCAGGUGCUUAGGCAGCACUUGUUCAGACACUGUCUCUCCUGGGGGACCUUGCUGAGCUGCCCACGUGCCCAUUUUGUCUGUGAUCGUGCACACAGUCCUUGGGCUGGCUGCUAACGACCAUUCACCACUCACGUGUGUCUGCCCUCACAGCCAUCUGCCCUCAAUACCCACCUCUGUGACAGCACAGGUGGACGGACAUCUGUCCUUGUGUUCUGCUCGGCCACUCAGCCUCCAUCCACCCCCGGCCUCUAGGGGACCAUCGAUGUCUAACACCAGGGCCCCCCU
ensembl:lncRNA